rnacentral:rRNA from 1 species
GACGAACGCUGGCGGCGUGCUUAACACAUGCAAGUCGAACGGUAAGGCCCUUCGGGGUACACGAGUGGCGAACGGGUGAGUAACGCGUGGGUGAUCUGCCCUGCACUUCGGGAUAAGCCUGGGAAACUGGGUCUAAUACCGGAUAGGACCCUGGGAUGCAUGUCCUGGGGUGGAAAGCUUUUGCGGUGUGGGAUGGGCCCGCGGCCUAUCAGCUUGUUGGUGGGGUGAUGGCCUACCGAGGCGACGACGGGUAGCCGGCCUGAGAGGGUGACCGGCCACACUGGGACUGAGAUACGGGCCAGACUCCUACGGGAGGCAGCAGUGGGGAAUAUUGCACAAUGGGCGCAAGCCUGAUGCAGCGACGCCGCGUGAGGGAUGACGGCCUUCGGGUUGUAAACCUCUUUCAGCACCGACGAAGCGCAAGUGACGGUAGGUGCAGAAGAAGGACCGGCCAACUACGUGCCAGCAGCCGCGGUAA